UAAGCGGAGGAAAAGAAACUAACAAGGAUUCCCCUAGUAACUGCGAGUGAAGCGGGNAAAGCUCAAAUUUAAAAUCUGGCGGUCUUUGGCCGUCCGAGUUGUAAUUUAGAGAAGCGUCUUCCGCGCCGGACCGUGCACAAGUCUCCUGGAAUGGAGCGUCAUAGAGGGUGAGAAUCCCGUCUUUGGCACGGACGCCCGGUGCUUCUGUGAUGCGCUCUCGAAGAGUCGAGUUGUUUGGGAAUGCAGCUCAAAAUGGGUGGUGAACUCCAUCUAAAGCUAAAUAUUGGCGAGAGACCGAUAGCGAACAAGUACCGUGAGGGAAAGAUGAAAAGCACUUUGGAAAGAGAGUGAAACAGUACGUGAAAUUGUUGAAAGGGAAACGCUUGAAGUCAGUCGCGUCGACCGAGACUCAGCCUUGCCUCGGCUUGGUGUACUUCUCGGCCCGACGGGUCAGCGUCAAUUUUGCCCCUCGGAUAAUGGCAAGGGAAAGGUGGCACCUUUACGGGUGUGUUAUAGUCUCCUGUCGCAUGCGAGGGGUGGGAUUGAGGAACUCAGCGCGCACCUUGGUGUCGGGGCUUCGGCCCACGUCACGCGCUUAGGAUGCUGGCGUAAUGGCUUUNAACGACC
rnacentral:rRNA from 1 species